AUGCCUCAGAAAGACUCUGCGGGCUGCGGGAUGAGGACGCUCGAUGUUUGUUAGACAUCCUGGAUGUCUGAAAAGAGAUGGGCAUCGGAGCGUGUUGAGUUGUGCUGCGGUGAACAGCACCAUCUAGAGGCGAACACGAGACACAUGCGCUUAUCUCUCAUCUCAUACACUGAGCUGAAGUGGGACGACACUCCUGUCGAGGUUCCAGUUCUUUUGUGACAUCAUCUUACAGGAAGUGACAUCAAUUUGGAAGGAAACCAACAACACAAAUACCAAACGAAGGUGAAGGACAACAUGCCGCCAUCUGUUUGCAGCUUAGGCCCAGAGAACACAUGGCUACAGGUGUGCGGCAAGGACAGCAAGUGACACAAAGAUGAGCAAAUGCAGUACAUUGAUACAUUGUAUUUGCAUUCUGGUGUUCUUCUGGACUCUCAAGAUGUCGUCUUGGCACUUGGCUCGUCUCCAUACUACAGAUCUCUCAUGGAGCAGUGGGAGGAGACCUGAAGAGACUCUUCAGAGAUUGUCCAGUCAGCCUCUAAGCUUUAGAGUCCGUCUUCAGAGCAUCUGUCUGCAGAAGAGCUGAGAUGAAAGGCAGCACCAGUGACAGCAUUCAGGCCUGAGAAGCACUGCUGUGUGCCAACACAAGCUGCGGCCGGAGUAAUGGAAGGUCAGAAGUCACAAAGUCAGCUUUGCUACACUGAUCUUGGUUCACAUACACCCACUGGAUUACCUGUAUUAAAGAUACAUGUAACACACCUUUCAGACACAAUUGUAGGCCAUAGAUAUUGUAACAAUAUGAUGACAUAGUUGUUCACUAGCUUAACUAGCUGG